rnacentral:piRNA from 1 species
UAAAAGGUGUUGCCAGGGCAAGCAAUCUUGU